GAUGAACGCUAGCGGCAGGCCUAAUACAUGCAAGUCGAACGGUGUCUUCGGACAUAGUGGUGCACGGGUGCGUAACACGUAUGCAACCUACCUUACAUUGGGGGAUAGCCUUUCGAAAGGGAGAUUAAUACCGCAUAAGACAGUAACUAGGCAUCUAGUAGCUGUUAAAGAUUUAUCGAUGUAAGCUGGGCAUGCGUCCAAUUAGCUAGUUGGUGAGGUAACGGCUCACCAAGGCAAUGAUUGGUAGGGGAACUGAGAGGUCAAUCCCCCACACUGGCCCUGGGAUACGGGCCAGACUCCUACGGGAGGCAGCAGUAGGGAAUAUUGGGCAAUGGACGCAAGUCUGACCCAGCCAUGCCGCGUGCAGGAUGAAGGCGUUAUGCGUUGUAAACUGCUUUUAUACAGGAAGAAACGACUCUUGCGAGAGGCAUUGACGGUACUGUAUGAAUAAGCACCGGCUAACUCCGUGCCAGCAGCCGCCGUAAUAC
rnacentral:rRNA from 1 species